AGAACCAGCCAGCUCUCUCGUUCGACAGCUGACAAAUUGCCUGCGUAACUUGUUUGCCGCGACCGCGAGAACUAUGUUUUAAGUCGAAUGAUCGUCAGAUGUUACGAACAAUUGGAAAUUAUCUUCAUUUCCCAUAUCGCUGGCCGAUGCUCACGAUCUGUUCAGUUUGGAAAACAUGGAAUAGCUCGCUGGACGAUUAGUUUGAAUUUUACGGAAUCGCGUUUGAGGUGGAAUAUGCCGAGAUCGUAGAAUCGUUGACGUUCGACUGCUCCCACGAAUACUCUGGUGUCUGUACGUUUUAUCAGUCGAACCUAACAUUUCUCAGUGACGGAUAAGUUUCUUUUUAAAAAAUCUACACAUUCUUUUCUCUGUUCGAUAGAAUAGAAUUCCGAUAAAUAAGAAUUUGGUAUGAAACUAACAACGUUCCAGUCGUACAGAAAGAAAAUACAAUUUAAUUAAAAACGUGGGAGGUGGUGUAAGAAUCGGCGAUAGAAUUCAUCAAGAGUACGUGACGUUGGAAAAGCUAUAGGAAAAGCUACAGAUGUUAGAAAAUGGAAACGUGAUAUUGAGAAUUAUGUAAAGCACGUGGAUUGCUCGAAUGAUGGGGUAACUGUGGGGAAACCUUAAAUACACUGAUGUAAUGGGAUGGUUUCGUUGUGAUAAAGACGAUAAUAACGACGAUUUUGUACAAAUGGAAACAGCCAGCUAAAACGAUAAUGGAGAGGCACUUUCCCAUGCCGAAGCACCCAUGCCACUCGAAAAAGGGGCUUCGAUCGUAUAAAAUUCACCGCGCAAAAGCUCCCAGCUGGACCUGUAACGAAGAUUUAAAUAACGCAUUUCGAAGAUUUCCUCUAACUCGUCGAGCAAAAUUCAAAUGGUUCGGUCCACAGUUGCAGACGAGUUAUUUCGUUCGAAUGAACGUACGAAACGAAAGAUAUUUUUACGGCGAGUGUCGGACUAUUUUAGCUUUCGAGGCAUUGUAAGUUGAAUUUUAGUUGCGGUGUCGACAAAUCAUUGAUUCAGUGACAGUGAAUUUUCUUUUUUCUGGGUGUGAUGCGAAUGCGCAGAAACUUUGACGUCAAACGUUCCCGCUGAACGAACAGGACCUUCCGGCUGCCAUUGAUAUUGAUUUUCCAUGGGCUUCAAGGUUUCUGGAGCAGCUGUACCCAUCCAGCGCAGACUCUGGCUAUUCUCAAUAUGGCUGUCUAUUGUACCCAAAUCCGCUCGUUUUGCGUUGCAACGCGCUCGCCGCCAUACACCAGCAUGCGAUCAAUGCGCCAAGGACAUCAGCCGAUCGCAAUUUAAACAGCCGAAUUUAUUUUCGAAUGUGACGCGCUAGACGUUAUCAACAUGGCCGAUACAUGUACCCUGUCACGUACUUCCUGAUCGUCGCGUCUAUCUCCAUGGUCGUAAGCAUCAAUGGCCAACUGUUAACUACGGAACAUCGAACUCACGCAGCGUCGGAACGAGCAAACGAUUUAUGGUGUCAUCAGUGUGAUACAAUGGAAGAUGGAGAGAGAUGCGCCAAUCUGACCGGAAACUUCACCACUUUCGGGCACAAGUGCACUGGUGAUAAAAGGACCUGUAUGGUAAUGACAAAUGAUAACAGCGAUUCGAACGCUUGUUGAUUAUACACAGGUCACGCACGUGUUUCAGCAGAUGUUUGAUAUUUUGCUUUGAUCGCGUGCUUUUAAAGCAAACAGAAUAUAGCAAACAGCUAGCUAAAAGCGAUAUUAGUUAUCGUCAACACGAGAGCGAGAGAAGGCUGUUCAAGAUAGAGACACAGUUUCAUUUCGUUCAUAACGCGAUUAGUGUUUGGAAAUGUUCAAUAUAGUCGAUCAAUUCAGUUUCAUAAUAAUUACGUACUUUAUUGAAAUUGAAUCCGCUUUAUAGGAACAUAUGUACAUGGUGUACACAUUUGAGGGAAUAUGCAAAUGCAAUUUUUUAUUUGUUCUUCUUAUUUAUUGGUAAUCAACAAUGAUAUUGGAUAUGAUAUAAUUGUACAGUUUGCACAUACACGGCAAAAAUAUUACGAAAUCCGUAAUCGAUAUUAGCCGACCGAAUUAACAAUGAACGAACCGUAUUCUCUGGAAAUGAUGCGAGAUAUUCUGGAAAAUUGAUAUUCCCUCGACUAAAAAUAUGUUACGUUCACACUCACUCGUGUUCGUUACAAGUUCCAAUGUGAAAUGUCAUACAGAGUGAAACAAGGAAUUGUUGCAAAUAUUAAUUUAAUUUUAGUAUCAAGAAUCAUUCUACGUACAUGUAGAAUUCUUUCUCAUCUUUUCUUUUCAGUCUUCUUUUUUCUCUUUUCGCUCGAUACUAUCAAGUUCGUGGUUUAAUGCUGCCCAAAAUGAGCUCGUACU